GCGCAGAUGCUUUCAGUUCCACUAACGGACACACAUGAUGCAACUUAUCAGCAGGGAGUACUGAGGCCUCCGGGGCAGUCUGGGAUGUGCUUUGGGAGCCAGCCGGGUCCAGGGCACCCAGCCACCACCACUUCAUCCACAGCAAGACGUCAGGACACACGCUCAGCUCAGAUGAGGCCUGGGCCUCUAUUUUAGAGCUUACUUUAGAUCAGACCAGACAAUAACAGACAUGUUUUGCUCUUCCCAGGUCUGCGGUCCCAAGGCUUUAGCUGGAUCCCACCUUCACCUCUGUGUGGAAUUAUAAUUUGUCUGGAAUGCAAACAGGCCGUUCAGGCAGCUUUUCCGCCUCCCCUCCCUUGCCUGCAAACUUUGGUCAUAUGGGCAGAAUCCCAUCAGCUUGACCAGGCUCCUGGAGGCCUGCAGAAAACCUGCCCACCCAGGAUGCCUCUCUUGCUGGGAGCACUCUCUCACCUUUGGGCCAUGUCAACACUAGAAAUUCUCAUCAUCCGGUGAGAUCCCAGACUCUGCUUCCACAGACACCCUCAUCCUCCCCAUGUCUAUGCGGUUUGCAUGCUCAGCUAGUCCUCAGCUCCUCCAGGCAGAUGUGGGCCUGAGCGCCGGCUCUUUCCAUCUCCAGCAGGAAUUUGUAAGGUCAAGUAUCUGGUGGGGUUUUAAGAAUCAUCUCUGGGCUGCUGAGAGAAGGGCCCAUUGUUCUGUAAUCAGGGUGCUAAUGGGAGUCUGGGAUGUGCUGAGGGUUUCACAGCCCGUGGGUGAGGCCCUAAUGGGGGCUUCUGGGAGGAGAAAAGACUACGCUGAGCCAAGGUACUUGGUUCCAAAAUAAGUUGUGCAGUGAAGGGCCGCUUACCAGACAGUGGAGCUGGGAUGCCAGGAAACCAAUGGGCACUGCAUCAGCACUGUAAGGCUCACUGGCAGUGGCAGCCCUUUGGAGGCCUCCCGUGAGGACAGGGCACACUGGACACAUUGGGCACAGACCCCGUGUGCUUGGGCGGGAGGGACAAAGGCACCGGCCAGCACACCUGGCAGAGACGUGUGUCCAGAUCGGACAUGGGGAGCUGGCAGGAGAUCUGAGAGUGUGGCUGGGGUGACACACAAGAAAGAGAGGCUUCAGGACAAGUGGGCUUUUAGCAAGAGGAGUGGCUCCAAGUCAGAUGCAGGUGGAAGGCUCAUGUCUGCGUCUGGAAGGGCCUCUGGGGUGCUGACUGGCAACUGAGGCUUUGUCACCAGCUGUGUCCCCAUGCUCCGGUGGCACCCAAGCCCGGGCGGUGCCUCUCUCUUAUCCCAAGCAUCUCUUCCCACAUCGGCUAGGAUUUCUGUGCCUGAAAUAAGUCAUGUCUCUCGAGUACAAAUAAUCAGAAGAAUAAAAGUAUACUUUCCAAGAUUAGUUAUCCUGAAUGCUCCAAGCCCACAUUCUGUAAACAUGUGAAUAUUAGUUUAGCCACUGAAAGAAAGGACAGCCUUAAAAACUCACUUUUUGAUUAUAAAGAAAACUACAGAUGAGCAAUCAUUUUUUUUUGAAAGGUUAUUUUGGUUAAAAGCUCCCCCUAUAUUUAUUUUCCUUGUGAAAUAGUUUAACUCCUCUGGUUUGCAUUGGUCAUGACACUUAGUGUUCCUUUUGAAAUUCAACAGGCUGGACAGAAAAAUUCCAGUCAAAUUAGGGAUGCAAAACAAUGUGCUGUGACAGUUUUCCUAAGGGUGUCCUUCACCCCGUAAGCGGUCAUCCUGACAAGAGACACCCCACCCCAACCCUGUGCCAAGCCACCCAUAGGAGCAGCUGCUCCCAACACCACACCAGGCCAGUCGGACUCCUGACUCCUUUAACCACGAGGAAAUAUUUACCUAUCGCCUUAAAAAUACUUUUCUGCUUUCAAUAUUACUGUUGGCAAAUAAAUAGUGUUUCUUAACAUCUGAGGUGAAACAGCAGGAAUGAACCUUCCUGGGGUCCCUGUGAAAUGGUUCCGCUGAAGUCUGCCUCAAGGAGUCUUCAUGGGGACGCAGAACAAUAAGAUGGGCCAAAGCACUUCACACAGAGCCCAAGACCUACUCAGAGAACAGUCGUUUUAAAGGUCAGGCCAUUCAACCUGAGUUAUUGCCUCUCGUGCUGACUUGCCGACGGCUUGGCAGCAGUUCCCCACCUGGCCCAGCGCAGCCUUAUUUCGGGCUCUGUGACUGUGAUCAGUUCUCUCCUGCCUGCCCUGCUUCCCAGAUCACCUCAUCUCCCCACAGUUGCUGGUCUAACUGUUGAGUAUAUGGAGCCUCCCCUUUGUGGAAUGUGUUCUUUGGGGCCCUGGCACCCCUGGAAGUUUGCAGUCAAACAGUGUAGUUUCCCUGAAGGAGAGACUAGGUCUCAACAUCCGGAAAGCCCAGCGCCAUCUAAUCAGGGAUGAAGCUGGAAAGCCUGAUAUGUCUACACAGGGAUGAAACUGCAAAGCUCAGCACCAUCUGAGCAGGGGGUGAAGCUGGUGCUCAGUCCACAACCACUGAUGGAGACUGAUGCCCUCAUUUGAAAAUGGAAAAUCAUGAGCUGAAAAGUCUGUCAUAUUGGUAAACAUGUGUGGCUGAAACAAGUCAUCUCUGCACAGGGAUUUGCUGACUGCCCUCACCCACAGUAAUAGCAUUGCCCAAAGGCACACUGUGGUUCUGGGACACUGAUCACAGCUUGUUUCCAUCUGCCUUUCUGGGGUCACCUUUGAUCCCCUUAUGAGGGUUAUGAGGGUUUCUUUCUCCUCCUGCCCCUGAGCUGCGUGCUGCUGCCCCCUGCCCCCGCCCAGAGUCCUCAGUGAGCACCUCGAUGUUCACUGUCACUGCGCAGCUCCAUGCCCGCUUGGUAUCUGACUCCAAAGCCUUCUAAGAGCCCAUCCUUUCUGGCAUUAAGCACUUGGAACCUUUCCCGAGGAACCUCUCUGCCUACAUGUAGGCACGUAGAUUUUAACCUCUCCACAUAGCCAGAGUAGUAUUUCUGAAAGUCAAUCUCAACACAUCCUUUCUUGACUUAAAAGAUAGGUUCACAUAGUUACCAGCAUAAACCUCAAAUCACAGGGCUUGGUUGACCUGGCCCCUUGGGGACCCCCAUCUACUUCCUGUUUACCCUCUGCUCUCUUCCCAGGCAACCUCAGUAAUCUGUGCUCUGUUCAUCCUAAAUUGUUUCUGUCUGAAGACAGAAAUACGGAAACUGCUGUCCUUAACUGCCACAUCUUGGAAUAUUCCACCCUUUCUUCCCCAGUCUUCUCCUCCUUCUCCUCCUGGCCAGGUUGGAUUUAACUUAGACCUCACCUCCUCCAGGGAGCCUUCCAAGACCACCCAAUUCCCCAUCUCCCCAAUCUGCCCUGUAGGUACACAGGAAACAAGAAUGUAUGGACCUGUUUAUUUAUAUGAAAAUACCUCUGCCCCCAUUAACCUCUAAGUUCUUUAGGGCAAGCAAGGUCUGUUCAUAAUUGUCCAAUGUUUUAUCUUCAGGGACGAUCCCAAAGCCUGGAUCUUAAUAAAUGCUGGGUUAGGAUCACAACAGCAGAGACUGAUUCAGGCUGCAAUGGGAUCUGUGUUUUUAUCUUAAGCAAUACCUAAAGAGAAUUCAGACUCCCAGCCAGAUCUGUGGGGCACUAACCCCUGGUAUGGAGGGUCGCUUAGCCUGAUCCCCCAGGACCUGAGGACUCCACGGCUCUGUGCAACCUUCCCUUUGCUUAUGAAGGAUGAAAGCAUCUGCUUCCUUAGAAGCAAAACGUUGACUCUGCCUUCAAUUUUAAUUUACCAAGUUACUCCAUGGAGGAGCGAUUUUCCAACCUCACUGCAUCUGAGAAACAAGCAGCUUGAACAUGUGACUGUUGGGCCCAUCACAUAGAAAUUCAGGUUCAAUUGGCUGGAUGUGGAGCCGUCCCACCAGACACCGUUAUUAAGUUUCUUGAAGUUGAGAAUGCCUGCAACAGGGAAUACCCAAGAAAAUUCUGUGACUGACACUGCUGAAACUCAAUGCAAGUUUUACUGACAUCAAGAAGACCUUUCUAUUUUCAAGCUAAGAAAGUUAGUAAUUAUUAACCUUAAAGCAAGGUAAUUUGCUGUAGGGUUUAGUUUUAAAGCCAGCCAGACAUCCUCCAUGGGGACACGAUUGUGAUAAGUGUCUGUGGUAAGUCAUGGCCAUUUUCAUGACUUUUGUACAAAAUAUGGGGAUUGGAAGACUGAGCUACAAGCGAUGCUAGCAAAAGAGUAAGUGUAACUAUUGAGGCUGGUUUUGAAUUAUAACUUCGCCAAAGAGCAUUUCAAAGCAGUAUGUUCUUUUUCUUCCCUUCUCUCUUAAAAAACGAGGCUGUAUUUUUUCACAUUUGGUAAAAAGAAUGCUCAGAAUCUUCCACCCAGAGCUCCAAGCUGUAGCCAAACUGAUUGAUCGGCCCCAGAAGGCCACCUAGAAGAGAUCUCUGAGGUUGCAAUGUCCUGUUUUUUUUUUUUUUUUUUUUUCUGAAUUACUUUGUAUCUGAUUUAGGCAGCUACAAUUUUUAGCCUGGAAUUUUGCAUACAGAUUGCGCACUGCUUUGAAACCUCAGCUACAAUGCAUAUUUCAUGACCAGUCUCUUCAAAUCCUCUCUGGAAAAAAACACUGUACUUUUGUGGUUUGCUUAUUAAAAUGGAGGUGGGACAAUUAAAGGAGCUUUCCCCUAAUUCAAUGAGAAAUAUAUUUAAACACAAAACUUAGAACGAUGAAAAGUGGCAUAAUGGCAUAGAACAACAACAGAACGACUAAAUGGAAAAUAUUUACUUUUGAGGAUGGAAUUUUAUUUUUAAAUCCUAGUAAAUCCAGCCCUAAAGCUACCUUUGCCCAUCUAAGUGCAUUCAGGACAUGAUGAUGGGAAAGCCCACAGGUGCUAACUUAACCACACUCUGUUCUUCUGGUUGAUUCUUUCUGCCUUUCUGUAUUCACUACUCAAGGAACAGCAACAUCAUUGCCCAGUUUCUCUACCCAAAACCAAAGAAUGCUCAAAGCGCCUCACCUUUACUAUUCUUCUUCUUUUUUUUUUUGUCUUUUUGCCAUUUCUUGGGCCACUCCUGCGGCACAUAGAGGUUCCCAGGCUAGGGGUUGAAUCAGAGCUGCAGCUGCUGGCCCAUGCCUGAGCCACAGCAACGCCAGAUUCGAGCUGCAUCUGUGACCUAUGCCAUAGCUCACAGCAACGCUGGAUCCCUAACCCACUGAGCAAGGCUAGGGAUCAAACCCCCAACUUCAUGGUUCCUAGUCAGAUUCGUUAACCACUGAGCCAGAAUGGGAGCUCCUUACUCUUCUAUACUACCACCACCACUUGAUCCUUGGGAAUGCUCCCUGAUGUCCAUUUCUUCCCUCCACUGCAGUCUGGCCCUGUCAUCCCUGACCUCUAUUCCAGCCCUGGUGUCUCAAGCCCAGUUCUGCAAACCUUAAGUGGUUUUCUUUACUGUAGACAGAAUGAUAUUUCUAAAUUUUAAAUCUCAUUAUAAUCCUUCUUGCUUAACACCCUCUGGUGACCUCACUGCCACCAGGACAGAGGCAGACCUAACCCCUAUGGCUUAUAACACCCUGCAGGAGCCUUCCCCUGCUUCCGUACAAAACCUGUCUUUCUCCACCCUGCAUUUUCUGCGUUAGUCAGAAAGUUUCUUAAAUUGACUUUGCUCUAUUUUAUGGGGAGAGCUCUGAGCAUUCCACGUCUGUGUGAAAUAAGAUUUGCCUUUCUUGACCUCUAGGCAAUGCCUGCUCAUCCUUUGGAAUUCAGCUUAAAAAUGGUACUUCCCCCAGGAAGCCUUUCUUCUUUGGGAAUGUGCCUUCACUGUAGCCUAUGUCCCAUUAUCACAACUGGCGUGAUUUACACACACACUUUUGUCUCAUUCAGAUCAUUGAUUCUUAAGGUGAGAGACUCAUGUUCACCCUGAACCCUCAGUGCACUGGGGGUUCACACAACUAGGUGAUAGAAACCUCUGCUCUUUCAUCUGCACCUUUCCACACCUGCUGGCUUCUCCUAGAGGAGCCUGAGUGAGGUCAACUGAAAAGUGGUUAAAUGCUGAAGCUUUACUCCAUCACCAUCUCUUUACCCUCACUGGACUUUGGCCCAUGUAGAAUCCCAAGGACACGGUGGGUUUGAUUAGAUGUGUUUCUGGGAUGUAUGUGCACAUGCAUGGUUUCAUGUUUCCAGGCCUACACAUACUGUGAUUACUUGUUAUACAGACAUGGAUCAAACAUCAGCUCUUUUAAAAACCCUGGAUACUUUCACAACUAAAACAUGGAUGCAACACUAGUGCCCAUCAACAAAUAAUCAAUGGACAAGUGAACAUAGCACAUGGAUAUAUUGGAAUACUACUCAGCCUCAGAAGGAAGGAAAUUCUGAUACUUGCCACAUCAAGGAUGCAUCUCGGGGAUGUUAUGCUGAGUGAGACAAGCCAGUCCUCCAAGGAUGAACAGUCAUAUGCGGCCCCUAGAGCUAUGGAUUCAUAGAAACAGAAAAUAGCAUGGUGUUUGCCAGGGGCUGGGGGAGCGGGAGGGAAGUUUGUUUUUAGUGGGAACAGAAUUUCAGUUUGGGAAGAUGACAAAGUUCUGGGGAUGGUGGCGGGUAUGGCUGCACAAUGAUGUGAAUGUGCUUAGUGCUGCUGAAUGUACACUUAAAUAUGGCUAAGAUGGUAAAUUUUAUGCUGUGGGUAUUUCCACAGGAAGAAAACCCAGCAAACAAACCCUUCCUGGGCUCCCCCAGGCCAGCCUGCCAUAUUAGUCUGUGGUCGGGUCAUAAGAAGCGUUUCCACCAGAGAUGGUGAGGACCAGUUUCAUUAGGACACGUGCAAGUGCCUUGGUUCCCAGAGGCCUUUGGCACAUGCUCAGUUCUUUAUUCGAGAGUAAACUGUCAUUUCAAAGGCUUUUUCUGCUUUAAUUUACCUCCUUUGGAUAAUUUUGAAAGGGGCCCUUCCAGGUUAGUGUUCUGUCUUCUUGGAGAUUAUUGACAAUAAGAGACGGCAGAACUUGACAUUUCUUUGAACCCUGUUUGCCUUGGUGGCUUCAGUAAUGUGAACAGUCAAUGUGCCUCAGACUUUAGAUAUAUUGUUAGAUUUCCUUAGUCUCUAGUAUUUUUGCAGGAGUCUCUUUGGUGACCUAUCUCCAAACUUGGAGACCAAACAGUAAUUCUGGGGAAUCUGAAAAGUUUGACUAUAUAGAACUAAGCAACCACUAGAAGUGAAUUUGAAGUAUAUAUUCUGCUUACAUUUAUUUAUUUAUUUAUUUUUGUCUUUUGUCUUUUUAGGGCCGUACCUGUGGCAUAUGGAGAUUCCCAGGCUAGGGGUUGAAUUGGAGCUGUGGUCCCCGGCCUACGCCACAGCCACAGCAACACAGGAUCCGAGCCACAUCUGUGACCUACACCACAGCUCAUGGCAAUGCCAGAUCCUUAACCCACUGAGCAAGGCCAGGGUUGAACCCGCAUCCUCAUGUAUGCUAGUUGGGCUUGUUAACCACUGAGCCAUGAUGGGAACUCCCUAUUUUUUUUUUUUUUUAAAGAAUUGUUAGCAAUGCUUUUUCAAAACACAAGAAAAUAUCUAAUGAAAAUGUAACCGUAUAUGUUGAAAGACACACGUUUUACUCUAAGAGUAAUGGAACCAGACAUUGGGUUUAGGAGAUGAGAGUCGAACUGAAUUAUGUUUUGUGAGGAAUCUGACAAAAGAGAUAAGUUAGAGCUGAGAAGAAAGCUAAAAAAUCGAGAGAGAUAUUCCUUGUGCAGAUUACAACCAGAGGAGCCAGCCUGCAGGUGCUGAGUGGAUAUAAUGCAGAUUUCAUUUUAUGUGCUUCAUGCAUUUUAUUUUAAAGGAAACACAGGAUUGAACCAACUGAUGUUUAAAGCUUUGAUUGCCAUGUGAAAUUAUUACAAAACAGAAGUAUUUACUACAUUAAGCUAUAGAAGUGGGAUAUUUUAUUUAAUUUCAAUUUUUAUUUAUUUUUAAGUACUAAGUGCCUUUUAUUACAUUUAUAGUUGUACAAUGAUCAUCACAACCCGAUUUUAUAGCAUUUCGAAUUGGGAUAUUAAUUAAGAAACAUUUUUGGAAAACCAAAACAUUUACCUCUAGAUUUUCAAUAAACCUACUGCACGA
rnacentral:lncRNA from 1 species